rnacentral:rRNA from 1 species
GAGUGCCUACGGGACGCAGCAGUGAGGAAUAUUGGUCAAUGGUCGGGAGACUGAACCAGCCAAGCCGCGUGAGGGAUGAAGGUACAGAGUAUCGUAAACCUCUUUUGUCAGGGAACAAGGGCGGGGACGUGUCCCCGGAUGAGUGUACCUGAAGAAAAAGCAUCGGCUAACUCCGUGCCAGCAGCCGCGGUAAUACGUAUGGAGCAAGCGUUAUCCGGAUUUACUGGGGGUAAAGGGAGCGCAGACGGCAGGGCAAGUCUGAUGUGAAAGUCCGGGGCUCAACCCCGGGACUGCAUUGGAAACUG